AAUUGAUCGAAUAUUUAUGUAUUCAAUUUAAAAGUAUGAGACUUGAUUGAACAUGUAGAUUAAUUUAAUUAAGAAUUAAGUUAUAGGUCAUAUAGAAUCAAACACUGACUAUGUUUAGCUAGCACUGCGCAUGAGGUGUGGAUUUGAUUUCGAAGAUUAGUUAAAUUAAAUUAAUAACUCAAGUAAUUAUGAGAGAUUCAAUUUGAGUCCUAAUUACUUUUGAUC
rnacentral:lncRNA from 1 species